GUUUGGUUUGCCAUCACUUUUUGUGACUUUUCUGACAUCUGCAAGUGUCGGAAGUGUGACCUGAAACAUUUAAGGACACUUCUGCCUGAACCAUGGGCAGAUGUUUAGACUCCAAGAUACAGAGGAGGAGGGUCUUGGAGGUUUCUUAGUAUAAGUUCCUCCCUGUGGUACUUGCAGUUCCUACAAGGGGCUGUCAGAGAAACAAGCCGGAGCAGAAGAGCAAGACAUGGUCCUGGUGCAUGAAAGGAGCCUAAGAAAGAAGAGUGAAAGCUGCACGUGUUCUACCUCCAGAAAGCCAUAAAAGAGAAAAGAAUGUUGUACCAAACUAAGCAAAUGAAGCAUGAAAUGAAAAGCCGGUUGAGCUGGGAGGUAUAAAGAAUGGAAAGGAAGCAGCUACCACCCCUGGUAACCCCAUCAAUCCGGAGAAGCUUCGCAGAGUUACACUGUGCUCUGUCGGGAAGGAAAUGAAUUUUCCUCAUUGUACACAUUCCGAGAAAAAUGAGGCUAAGACUAUUUCAAAGGAUGUUCUACCUAAUUCGAAUGGGCUUUAAGUGCCAUCUUCACAAUAGCGCCAGAGUCUGGUGUCAGCAAACUGAACAAAUAGAGCUACAGGGAGCGAAUGGGGCUGGGUGCCUCUCCAAAACAUAUGCAGAUGAACUUGAGAUUUCAGAGGACGGUUAAUCCUACACAGCAGUCAAGUGCCUUCCCAGGGGUAUGUCUCAGAUCUCAGAGCAUCCUGGCAGGCAUCCACUGUGCCAUAUGCUUUCGGGAAGUCUGGAUGCUGAAUGUGGUGGCUGUGGGGAAUUGAGCCUUAUUGCUUCAUAAGAUUCCUGGUGGUAGAACUAUUCUGAACAAGAACACGUCCGUCCCCAUAGGUGUGCUCCAAGAAUCACAGAAUAAGAAGGGACUUCGGAGAGAGCCUCACACAGUUGGGCAAUGGGAGCCCAGAGAGGCAAGGAAGGCUCCUUGCCCAAAGUCUUGUACAUCUGAAUCUGCAACUCCUGACUAUUUUUGAGUCUUAUGCUCCAGGCUAAAACUUGUGACUUUAAGUGUGAUGUUCUCGGUGAUGAUUAAUCUAGGAUGUUUCUGUUGUUUUCUUACCGUCAAAGAAUUAACAUCAAAAGGAAAGGAAGGAAGAAAUGUAGAAGUGAAGGCAAGAAGGAAGGAAGGAGGAAAGGAAGGAAGGAAAAUAUAGGCUUUGGGUAAAAAUAAGUUUCUACUCAACACUGACAAAGGUACAGGUUUUGGACAUUGGUUUCCUAAUCUGUAAAUGAGGAAUAGUCAUCACAUCGCUGUCCUGGCUGGUUUUGUGUGUCAACUUGACACAAGCUGGAGUUAUCACAGAGAAAGGAAAGAAAAUGCCUCCAUGAGAUCUAGCUGUAAAUGGAUUAGUGAUCAAGAGUGGGAGGGCCCAGUGUGGGUGGUGCCAUCCCUGGACUGGUGGUCCUGGGUUCUACAAGAAAACAAGCUGAGCAAGCCAGGGGAAGCAAGCCAGGGGAACAUCCCUCCACGGCUCUGCAUCAGCUCCUGCUUCCUGCCCUGUGUGAGUUCCAGUCCUGACUUCCUUUGGUGACGAACAGCAAUGUGAUAGUAUAAGCUGAAUAAACCCUUUCCUCCCCAAC
rnacentral:lncRNA from 1 species